rnacentral:lncRNA from 1 species
UAAAUAUCUCUUCAUUUGUACUCAAGAGUGAAGCAAGACUCCAAGGAAGAGAGAUUGACGCAUCGGGAGCGAAGAACAGAAACGAUGGAUGGUUACGCUGCUUGGGUCUCGGCACGUUCGAAUUGGCAAAGUUCCGAAUUUGUCGCUGUGUUUUGUACGCUUUUGCGCUCGUCAUUUGCCGUCAUCGCGCGGAGAUAUUUGCGCUGGAUGUCUUUCACUUCGUGUACAAAACUCCGCACGCUGCGGCAUCGAAGAAGCUGUCCUGUGUUUGGGUGCACGUAUGCGCUUGGACACGGAUAUAUCCUGCUUGCUCUCAACGGGUGUUCAACAGUCUACGCGCACUCGUAACUUGCUCAUGAGGCAAGUUGCUGUUGUGCUGGAGCUGGGAAGAGGUCUGCUGCCUGCAAUGGGUCCAUCUCUCUCAAGUUAUCGCAGUAUUGUAGCUCUCAAAGUUCAAAAAAGUAUGGUGGAAGCUGUUGCCAGGGUUCCGACCAGAAAAGACAGCCAGUAUAAAAGGGUCCACACCACUGAUCUCUACUACAGGGCAUGGACAGCACAUCAAGCACCCUCGACUGAAGCCAACCUUGUCCCGGAAGUUGGUGCUUCACAACUGUGCGGAGCACUUCGUUUGCACGGGUGUGUAGCAUUUCUUCCCCUAACAUGCCUGCCCGAUGUGCCAUAAACUAC